rnacentral:rRNA from 1 species
GACGAACGCUGGCGGCGUGCUUAACACAUGCAAGUCGAACGGAAAGGCCCUGCUUUUGUGGGGUGCUCGAGUGGCGAACGGGUGAGUAACACGUGAGUAACCUGCCCUUGACUUUGGGAUAACUUCAGGAAACUGGGGCUAAUACCGGAUAGGAGCUCCUGCUGCAUGGUGGGGGUUGGAAAGUUUCGGCGGGUGGGGAUGGACUCGCGGCUUAUCAGCUUGUUGGUGGGGUAGUGGCUUACCACGGCUUUGACGGGUAGCCGGCCUGGGCGGGUGACCGGCCACAUUGGGACGGGGAUGCGGCCCAGACUCCUACGCGACGCAGCGGUGCGGUAUAUUGCACAAUGGGCGGAACCCUGAUGCAGCAAAGCCGCGUGCGGGAUGACGUCCUUCGGGUUGUAAACCGCUUUCGCCUGUGACGAAGCGUGAGUGGCGGUAAUGGGUAAAGAAGCACCGGCUAACUACGUG